rnacentral:rRNA from 1 species
AACCCUAGACAGGGGAUCACUAGGCUCAUGGGUCGAUGAAGACCGCAGCAAACUGCGCGUCGUAAUGUGAACUGCAGGACACAUGAUCAUCGAUAAGUUGAACGCAUAUUGCACCUUGUACAU